UCGGUAGCUCAGUCGGUAGAGCAGAGGACUGAAAAUCCUUGUGUCGGCGGUUCAAUUCCGUCCCGAGC
rnacentral:tRNA from 1 species